GCGCCAGCCCAGAAACAAAAGUCUUGGUCCUGAACCUACAAUUGUCUGCCAACAAGACUAUACAUGCAAGCCUCAACACAACAGUGAGUUGCCCGGGCGAUCAAACAGAACAAACGGAGCCGGUAUCAGACAAUGGGACACCCCAAUCAACAACACCACGAACAACUAAAACCACGCCUACACAGGAACUCAGCAGUAAUUAACAUUAGGCCAUAAACGAAAGAUUCGACCUAGCUAUGGAGACUAAAGCCGGUAAAACUCGUGCCAGCUACCGCGGUUAUACGAGAGGCUUAAGACAAUUCAAACGGCGUAAAGAUGGCUAGAAAUUAUCAAAAAAUUAAGGUUGAACCACAACAGGCUGUCCAACGCGAAGAUCAAGGGAAAACAACACCUUAACCAAAAGACCAUUUCAACCACUAAAGCUGGGAAACAAACUAGGAUUAGAUACCCUACUAUGCCCAGCCAUAACAAGGCAGAAAAAUACAAUCUGCCCGCCAGAUUAGUACGAGCAAAAGCUUAAAACUCAAAGGACUUGACGGUGACCCACAUCAGCCUAGAGGAGCCUGUCCCAUAAUCGAUAACCCACGCUUAACCCAACCACCCCUAGCCAAUCAGUCUAUAUACCGCCGUCGCAAGCCCACCCUGUGAAGGCAUAAAAGUGAGCAUAAUAGUAGUACACUAACACGACAGGUCAAAGCGUAGCACACGGGAUGGAGGAGAUGGGCUACAUUUUCUACAAAGAAAACACGGAAGGAUACCAUGAAAAAGUACCACAAGGCGGAUUUAGCAGUAAGAUAAGAAACAAUACUUAACUGAACACUUGCACUGGGACGCGUACACACCGCCCGUCACCCCCAUCUCACAACUCAACCAAAACUAAAUAAACACACUAAACAAAAUCAAGAUGGGGUAAGUCGUAACAUGGUAAGCGUACUGGAAAGUGCGCUUGAACAC
rnacentral:ncRNA from 1 species